ACGGCCUCAUCACAUUGUAACAUCGGUUCCCAUACGAUCACUGAAUUUAAGCAACGUCGAUCCAGGUCAGUAACUAUAUGGGGGACUACUUAGGAACACCAGGUGCUGUAAG